CCUACGGGAGGCAGCAGUGAGGAAUAUUGGUCAAUGGACGAGAGUCUGAACCAGCCAAGUAGCGUGAAGGAUGACUGCCCUAUGGGUUGUAAACUUCUUUUAUAUGGGAAUAAAACAGGGUAUGCAUACCCUCUUGUAUGUACCAUAUGAAUAAGGAUCGGCUAACUCCGUGCCAGCAGCCGCGGUAAUACGGAGGAUCCGAGCGUUAUCCGGAUUUAUUGGGUUUAAAGGGAGCGUAGGUGGAUUGUUAAGUCAGUUGUAAAAGUUUGCGGCUCAACCGUAAAAUUGCAGUUGAAACUGGCAGUCUUGAGUACAGUAGAGGUGGGCGGAAUUCGUGGUGUAGCGGUGAAAUGCUUAGAUAUCACGAAGAACUCCGAUUGCGAAGGCAGCUCACUGGACUGCAACUGACACUGAUGCUCGAAAGUGUGGGUAUCAAACAGGAUUAGAUACCCUUGUAGUC
rnacentral:rRNA from 1 species